rnacentral:rRNA from 1 species
AUUGAACGCUGGCGGCAGGCUUAACACAUGCAAGUCGAGCGGAAACAGAGAUAGCUUGCUAUCAGAUGUCGAGCGGCGGACGGGUGAGUAACGCGUAGGAAUCUACCUAGUAGUGGGGGAUAGCCCAGAGAAAUUUGGAUUAAUACCGCAUACGCCCUGAGGGGGAAAGGAGGGGAUCUUCGGACCUUUCGCUAUUAGAUGAGCCUGCGUAAGAUUAGCUAGAUGGUGGGGUAAUGGCCUACCAUGGCGACGAUCUUUAGCUGGUUUGAGAGGAUGAUCAGCCACACUGGGACUGAGACACGGCCCAG